rnacentral:rRNA from 1 species
CCCUUAGAUGUUCUGGGCGGCCCGCGCACUACAUUGGCACUCUCAAUAAGUUCCUAGAUCUAAAACUUUGGGGUAUUCUAUUAAGUGGUGUCGUGACUGGGAUUAACCCUUGCAAUUAUUGGUUACGAACGAGGAAUUCCUUGUAAUCGCGGUUUAUCAGCCCGCGUUGACUGCGUCCCUGCCCUUUGUACACACCGCCCGUCGCUCCUACCGAUGAAUCGUCCGGUGAAGUUCAUGGAGUGGUGGUUGUUCCAGCUGCUGUCGAAGUGAAAUGGACCUCACGAUUUAGAGGAAGGAGAAGUCGUAACA